UUUCAUUCUUUAUAUUCGCCCAAAACUUCGUUCCCCCUGCCAUUACGGUUUUCCGCACUGAAGAAGGAGACAUGCCUUGCAAAUUUCAACGAGGAGAGAAUUCGAAAUUGGGGUCGUCGGAGGAAUGUGCUAACCCAAAGCAACCAAAACUGGCGCGAGAAGGAAUCGAAAAAUAGAAGAAAUCGUUGAAGCGGAAAUCGGGGUCGUCGGAUGACAAGAAACAAAGACAAAAUCAACUAGGAGAGCAAAAAGAACUGGAGAAAUCAUUCAACGAUUCUGAUGACGAUAUUGAUUGGCGUAAUCACUAUGCUGAACAGAUCAACAAGAGUGAGGGAUUUGACAUUGAGUAUGUUCCCCAGAAUGUGUAUAUGAUUGGUUUAAUUCAUCCACAUAAAAACUUCUACAAGAAUCCCUAGUUCCUUGAGCAGGUCGAAAAGGCAUCAAGGAUGGCUACUGGACACUACGAUGCUAUCAACAAAACGGAUUACUGGUUUGUGAGGGUCGUCAAGGUAUGCUCAUAGCUUGUUGCUCGUUUAAAUCACUAUAUUACCUUCGAGGUCGAGGCCUUUGGUGGAACCCAGUCUCCU